CUCUCUGUAGCUUAGUUGGUUGGAGUGCUGCACCGGAAUCGCAGGGCCGCAGGAUCGAUUCCUGCCAGUGGGC